AUGGUUUUCCUUAAGUUAGACAUCCAAUCCAUGUGGAAAGUGUGUGUCAUGUUUCAUGCUAAAUUGGAGAGGAUUUGCCUUUAGUAGUGGCCACAUGACACUCUAGGAUUAGAGAGGUUUUGCUUUAUGAGUGGCCACAUGUCCUUCCACCAUUGGAGAGGAUUUGGACACUUGUCUCCACCCUAGAGGGCCUUUGAAUUCUCGACCAAGCUUUGUUUUUAGCACUAUCUUUGCUUUCAGGUUUUUAAGGAGACACCCUUGCUUAUUUAAAGAGGUGUCUCCACCCCUUGUAUUCAUCUUAGAUGUUAGUUAAUGUUAUGCUGCCCAAAUUUGGCCAUAAUACUCUCCUUGAUUAAGACUAGAGCAACCCUAGAGGCCCUUCUAGUCAGCUUCCUCAUUGAGUUGGCCUAAUCUCUCUAUGAGCCACCAAACAUCACAACACCACCACCUUUUCACCCAGGUCGUGAGCCUACCUUAUUUCCCUUCAUUUUUGUGCCACCUUGAACCCUUAUUCCCACCAUUUUCCACAC
rnacentral:lncRNA from 1 species